UAAGAAGGGAGCUAGCGUUGUUCGGAAUUACUGGGCGUAAAGGGUGCGUAGGUGGUUACUUAAGUGAGAUGUGAAGGCCCCGGGCUUAACCUGGGAAUGGCAUUUCAUACUGAGAGACUAAGUGUGUAAGAGGGGAAAGCGGAAUGGCGAGUGGAGCAGUGAAAUGCGUUGAUAUUCGUUGGAACACCAGAGGCGAAGGCGGCUUUCUAGCUUAUCACAGACACUAAGGCACUAAAGCGUGGGGAGCAAACAGG
rnacentral:rRNA from 1 species